GACGAACGCUGGCGGCGUGCUUAACACAUGCAAGUCGAACGGAAAGGCCCUGCUUUUGUGGGGUGCUCGAGUGGCGAACGGGUGAGUAACACGUGAGUAACCUGCCCUUGACUUUGGGAUAACUUCAGGAAACUGGGGCUAAUACCGGAUAGGAGCUCCUGCUGCAUGGUGGGGGUUGGAAAGUUUCGGCGGUUGGGGAUGGACUCGCGGCUUAUCAGCUUGUUGGUGGGGUAGUGGCUUACCAAGGCUUUGACGGGUAGCCGGCCUGAGAGGGUGACCGGCCACAUUGGGCCUGAGAUCCGGCCCAGACCCCUACGGGAGGAAGCAGUGGGGAAUUUUGCACAAUGGGCGGAAGCCUGAUGCAGCAACGCCGCGUGCGGGAUGACGGCCUUCGGGUUGUAAACCGCUUUCGCCUGUGACGAAGCGUGAGUGACGGUAAUGGGUAAAGAAGCACCGGCUAACUCCGU
rnacentral:rRNA from 1 species